rnacentral:rRNA from 1 species
CACGUAGGGGCCAAGCGUUGUCCGGAUUUAUUGGGCGUAAAGAGCUCGUAGGCGGUUCGACAAGUCGGGUGUGAAAACUCCGGGCUCAACCCGGAGACGCCACCCGAUACUGUCGUGACUGGAGUCCGGUAGGGGGAGUGGGGAAUUCCUGGUGUAGCGGUGAAAUGCGCAGAUAUCAGGAGGAACACCGGUGGCGAAGGCGCCACUCUGGGCCGGUACUGACGCUGAGGAGCGAAAGCGUGGGGUAGCAAACAGG